AACGAACGCUGGCGGCGUGCCUAACACAUGCAAGUCGAACGAGAAAGGGGCUUCGGCUCCGAGUAAAGUGGCGCACGGGUGAGUAACACGUGGGUAACCUGCCUCUAAGAUUGGGAUAACUCGUCGAAAGAUGAGCUAAUACCGGAUAAGACCACAGUUCCCGCGGGAACAGAGGUCAAAGGUAGCCUCUGCUUGCAAGCUAUCACUUAGAGAUGGGCCUGCGCACCAUUAGCUAGUUGGUAGGGUAACGGCCUACCAAGGCAAAGAUGGUUAGCUGGUCUGAGAGGAUGAUCAGCCACACUGGAACUGAGACACGGUCCAGACUCCUACGGGAGGCAG
rnacentral:rRNA from 1 species